UCUUAUUAAAAAAUUAGGGAAAAAAGAAAAGGCAGCAUGAAAAAGAUCUCCUUUUCUUGGGAAGCGGAGUACUUCCAGUGGAGGGAAGAUCCGUAAAGUAGGAUAGCUAUAACAGCAUCGGUGAGAUGGUUUUGGCAGAAGACAUAGUCUCAGCACCGUGUGCUUUUGAAAGCAGCUGCCCCGAUCUCUCAAAUGUCAGCGAGGACAGAUGCUUCCCUCUGCACACACUGUCUGACAGGCGCUGGUCAGACCUGAGUCGGCUCUUGAAUCUACGUGUGAUCCCUCAAGACACUUUUAAACCCACAAGGAGCAGGACAAUUGUUUGGGGACUAAUUUUUGUGAGCUGGAUGGAUGAAAGAAGAUUUCUGUGGUGCCAGUUCCCUCUCUUCUGGCUUAGGGGAGAGGAUGUGCAGGGGGAUGUCCCUUCCCUGGGAUGCUCAGGAUGCGCUGGAGAGCAUGGGGCACAACGUCUGAAGCUGGCUUAGAGCAUUGCUGAGCAAAACGUCUUCCUUUGCCAAGUCAGCCUCUGCGUGUGGAGGAAUGGAAGCCACCAAUGGCCCCGAGUUGCAGUUCGGCUGUGGCAGACUCAACUGUGGGACUGAAGCCUUGCUGCAGCCUGUCCCUCCACCAGCCCAUCUCACAGCAGACAGCCCCUGAGGGCAUCUGUAACAGAUGGACGGUGGCUAAGCAGCAGCCUUGUUGGAAUUCAGUUAAAAAUCAGUACCAGUUUGUAGAAAAUCUUUGUAGAAAAUGUAGAAAAUAGGAAACUUUCAACCUUUUCUCAGUCUGUCACAGUUUUUAUUCAUUUGAGCCAGGGAAGAGGAAUUUUAGUUCUGCCUCCUGAUGAAUCUGCCAGUGUGGUUCCCACUAUUUUCUCUCCUUGAUAGAGGCAAUUGGCGUGUUGCUUUCUACCCUAGGAAGCCUCAACUGCCACAAAAGGCCACAGUCUGAUGGGAUGUCAAACUGCAUAGCACUUGUUAAGCUCCCAUGGCUGGCAGCAUCUGUGCAUUUGCAAUGACAACUCUAAAUCCAUCCAGGAUACAAAAGUACUCUAAAAUUGUAGCCUUUGUGUGUGUGUGUGCGCUGCAUGUUUUAUUUAUAAAGCUUUUAGAGAUAGCAGUUUGUUCUCUAAUUUAUUUUGGGUUGGUGAGGAGGAGGAAAUCUCCUUGGCAAGAUAGGGAAUUUGCAAUCUGAAUGUAAAAGGAAUAUGAAAAAAAGAGGAAUAACAAUUAAAAGAAGUCCAGAAUUCUGGGACAUGUUUGCAUGAAUAAUAAUGCUUCCAAAAUGAUAAUGGAUUGUGUGUCAUCCAUUUGUGGAACUGUAGAAGCUGCUAUGAUAAAUAAAACGAUACGUCAAAUUUGAAACAGCAUGGGGCCUGCAUGUGUCACUCAUCAGGUACAAUUAAAUAAGAAUAAUUGGCUGCCUGCUAAGUGAGAAG
ensembl:lncRNA